GCCCCGCCAUGGCCGUUCCUCGUUGUUUUGCGUUUUACGGCCAAAAAACUAGAAUUCAGCCCGAUUCCCAUAUAUUCGUGUGCUAGCCCACGCCUUCCGAGUGGGUCCAGGCCCCCCGGACCUUGAUCGCCUAAAAUUUUUCCAGGCUAUCAAAUACGACCUAAGGAACCAUAGCCACCACCCCGCCAUAACCGUUCUUCAUUGUUUUGCUUUAUACGGCCAAAAAACAAGAAUUUCGCCCGAUUCCCAUAUUUUCGUGUGAUAUUGCCCAUGCCUUCCAAGUGGGUCCGGGGCCGAUAGCCUAAAAUUUUCCCGACCUAUCAAAUACGACCUAAGGAACCAUAGUCACUGCCUCGCCAUGGCCGUUAAUCAGUUUUUUGCGUUUUACGACCAAAAAACUAGAAUUUCGCUUGAUUCCCAUAUUUUCGUGAUCUAGCCCACGCCUUCCGAGUGUGUCCGGGCCCCCGGACCCCGAUCGCCUAAAAUUUUCCAGGCCACCAAGUACGACCUAAGGAACCAUAGUCAC
rnacentral:lncRNA from 1 species